AAGCACCUGAAGCCAUUACAGGCCCGACUUUGCUGUCUUCUGCCUACCUUCACCUCAGAGGGCAGGGCCCUCCAGCUCGAAGGCUGCUCACAGGAAGUUGUGCAAAGAGCUGGACACCAGGCUGCAGAGACCCAGACCCGCUCCAGAGAGCACUGGCCCUGCACAAGACGCCAGGGGUGCAGACGCAGCCGCUGCAGAGACGGGUCCCUGACUCUGUGUCAUUCAAACUCCAAUUCCCGCAUCCUUCUGAGAGAAUUUUGAAAAGAUCCGAUCCAUAUGAGGCUUUUUCCAGUGAGCAAGCUUGAUGCAGAUGUCCUCCUCUCCUUUAAGUGACAAACGGAAUUAUAACACUGUAUUCAAUUUCACUCUAAACUUUUUCUCUUCUGACUGUCCCAGAAAGGUGAUGACUAAAUGAUUCACUUCAUAGUACCUGGAGGGAGACCCAGUGUCCCGCAGGGUAGCAUAGCCCCCACUUACUGGACUGCCUGCAUCAGCCCUUCUGAACUCACCAUGAAGUAAGGAGCUGAUGAGAUCACCCACGAUGUGUCAUGAUGUCUCUGACCUUCAGAGUGCCAGCAAAAGGAACCUUUCCAAACCACAUGAACAAAGCAUCUCUCUGUAAUUCAGGAAUGAAACCCCAUGCUUACAGGGCCAAGAAAUACCACUGGCUGUUACUUUAUUUAUCUCAUAUAUAUGGGUAACUGUCUUAAGACCUGUGUUCUCUGCACGUCAGUUUCUCAUGUACCAAAGUAGAUAGAGCUCGGACUUCAUUCUACAGCACCUGCUAAUGUCUCCUAAAACUUUCAGACUAUGUCAUCUUAAACAUCACUAAGAAAGUCUCCUCUGCUCAUAUAAGGCUUAAUUAAGUGUGGGGCAGGGGCCCUGGAGGAGGGAAACUCGGAAAGUAAUCAAGAGAUCUAAUGUCUGAGUCUUUGUGACAGUUCCUGGGAAUGUCAAAAGGAAGGCUGUGUCCAAAAUAAAGCAAGGGUUUUUUUUCUGUGCUUUACAAAA